rnacentral:rRNA from 1 species
UAACCGUUGCUUCGGCGGGCAGGGGAAGCCUCUCGCGGGCCUCCCCUCCCGGCGCCUGCCCCCACCACGGGGACGGGGCGCCCGCCGGAGGAAACCAAACUCUAUUUACACGACGUCUCUUCUGAGUGGCACAAGCAAAUAAUUAAAACUUUUAACAACGGAUCUCUUGGUUCUGGCAUCGAUGAAGAACGCAGCGAAAUGCGAUAAGUAAUGUGAAUUGCAGAAUUCAGUGAAUCAUCGAAUCUUUGAACGCACAUUGCGCUCGCCAGCAUUCUGGCGAGCAUGCCUGUUCGAGCGUCAUUUCAACCCUCAAGCACCGCUUGGUUUUGGGGCCCCACGGCACACGUGGGCCCUUAAAGGUAGUGGCGGACCCUCCCGGAGCCUCCUUUGCGUAGUAACUAACGUCUCGCACUGGGAUUCGGAGGGACUCUUGCCGUAAAACCCCCAAAUUUUUUACAGGUUGACCUCGGAUCAGGUAGGAAUACCCGCUGAACUUAUUCAUAUCAAUAAGCGGAGGA